rnacentral:rRNA from 1 species
GACGAACGCUGGCGGCGUGCCUAAUACAUGCAAGUCGAGCGGACUGACUGGGAGCUUGCUCUUGUUCGGUCAGCGGCGGACGGGUGAGUAACACGUGGGCAACCUGCCCGCAAGACCGGGAUAACUCCGGGAAACCGGAGCUAAUACCGGAUAACACCGAAGACCGCAUGGUCUUUGGUUGAAAGGCGGCGCAAGCUGCCACUUGCGGAUGGGCCCGCGGCGCAUUAGCUAGUUGGUGAGGUAACGGCUCACCAAGGCGACGAUGCGUAGCCGGCCUGAGGGGGUGACCGGCCACACUGGGACUGAGACACGGCCCAGAGUCCUACGGGAGGCAGCAGUAGGGAAUCUUCCGCAAUGGGCGAAAGCCUGACGGAGCGACGCCGCGUGAGCGAAGACGGCCUUCGGGUCGUAAAGCUCUGUUGUGAGGGAGGAAGGAGCGCCGUUUGAAGAAGGCGGCGCGGUGACGGUACCUCACGAGGAAGCCCCGGCUAACUACGUG